rnacentral:lncRNA from 1 species
AACAAAUUCUAAUAUUAUUUCUUCUCUUCCUUCAUUUUCUAAUAUUAUUAGAUUAUUCUAUAAAGUAUUGCUGCAGAAAUCCUUUGUAGAAAUUGAGUUUUUGUUAUACAUUACUCAGUGCAUAGUGGACUAUUCUCGUCAGUGCAAAACGCAAAUAGUCAUUGGCUUCAUUGUAUCCUCGAGGUUAAUUUGCUUGGAACUCGUUUGCACACUGAAGAUAAGUGGGGGCGAAUAUAACCUUAAAGAUAGUGGCUUGAUACACGCCUUGGAGCCUGUCCUAUUUCUUCUUUUUCUUUUCGAGUUCCGAUCGUGUGUUCGAGUUUUUUCCUUACCGGAGUUUUGUACUAACAAUUUUAAGGUUAUAUUUCAUGAUGACUACCACAACACAUGAAAGUGGAACACUAAGGGAGUUGGCUUCCAACUUUGUUAAACUUGAUCGUUUUGAUGGUGGCAAUUUUCGACGAUGGCAGAAAAAGAUGCACUUUUUGUUAUCAACUUUGAAGAUUGCUUAUGUUUUGGAUACUCCAAGACCCGAAGAGAAUGAAAAUGAAUCUGUUGCUGCAACCCGAGAAAGACAAAAAUGGGACAAUGCUGAUUACAUGUGCAUGGGCCACAUAUUGAAUGGUUUAUCUGAUGGUUUGUUCGACACCUACCAAAACGACGUCACCGCUAAAGAAUUAUGGGAUAAAUUGGAGGCAAGAUACAUGACCGAAGAUGUUACAAGUAAGAAAUUUCUUGUCAUUCGUUUCAAUAAUUAUCAAAUGGUUGAUGGUCGUUCUGUUAUGGAACAAUUUCGUGAUAUUGAAAAGAUGCUGAAUCAAUUUAAGCAAUAUGAUAUGAAAAUGGAUGAAAUGAUUGUGGUAUCCUCCAUAAUAGACAAACUUCCUCCAUCUUGGAAAGACUUUAAAAGAAGUCUAAAACAUAAGAAAGAGGAAAUAUCUCUUGAGGCUUUGGCAAAUCAUCUUCGUAUUGAAGAAGAGUAUCGAAAACAAGAUCAGAACCUAAAUUCUGAAAAUGCCAAAGUACAUGUUACGGAGGAAGUACAGACUACUAAACCAUUCAAGAGAAAGUUCAAUCAGACUGAUAGAGCACCUAAGUUCAAAAAGAAACAAAAGGGCUCAUGCUAUCAUUGUGGAAAGCCGGGACAUUUCAAGAAUGAAUGUCGAUUUUUAAAGAAGAAAUCAUCUUCUAAGGCUGAUAAUAACGAAAAGUUCGUUGCAAUGAUAUCUGAAAUUAAUAUGGCACAAGAUGAUAAUACAUGGUGGAUUGAUACCGGAGCAACCAAACAUGUGUGCAAAGACAAAAGCAUGUUCACAAAGUUCACACAAUGUGAAAAUGACAAUGUCUUGUACAUGGGAAAUUCUUCCACCGCAACAAUUAAAGGCAAAGGGUCUGUUGAACUAAAAUUCACUUUUGGAAAGGUUUUAACCUUAAAUGAUGUAUAUUAUGUACCAGAAGUUAGGAAAAAUUUAGUGUCUGGAAGUCUGUUGAAUAAGUUUGGUUUCAAACUUUUUUUGAGGCAGAUAAGUUUAUUUUGUCUAAGGGAGGAAUUUUUGUGGGAAAAGGGUAUAUGUAUGAAAGCAUGUUCAAACUUAAUAUUAUUAAUAAGAAUAAAAAUACUAUUUCUGCUUAUAUGGUUGAAUCAUUUUGUUUGUGGCAUUAUAGAUUAGGUCAUUUGAAUUAUAGAAAAUUGAAUGACAUGUAUAAAUUAGAUUUAAUUCCUGUUUUUAAUAAUAAUAUUGAAAAAUGCAAUACCUGUAUGUUGACUAAAAUUACAAGAAAUCCUUUCCCUAAGGUUAAAAGGAAAACGAAAUUGCUUGAUUUGAUACAUAGUGAUUUAUGUGACUUGCAUAAUACUCCUACAUUAGGUGGAAAGAAAUAUUUUGUUACUUUUAUUGAUGAUUGUUCUAGAUAUUGUUAUGUAUAUUUAUUGCAUUCAAAAGAUGAAGCGCUUGAUAAAUUUAAAGUUUAUAAAUCUGAAGUUGAACUUUAGUGUGAAUCAUUUAUCAAGUGCUUAAGAUCGGAUAGAGGUGGAGAAUACUAUAAUCCAAGUUAUUUUGAACUCACUGGAAUUGUCCAUCAAGUUUCAACCCCUUACACACCACAACAAAAUGGUGUAGCUGAAAGGAAAAAUAGAGUCUUGAUUGAAAUGGUAAAUUCAAUGUUAUCAUAUUCAGGUUUUGGACAGGGUUUUUGGGGAGAAGCUGUUCUAACAGCUUGUCAUAUAUUGAAUAGAGUUCCUAAUAAGGAAACUAAAAUAACCCCCUAUGAACAAUGGAAGAAAAGGAAACCAAACCUUAAUUAUUUAAAGGUUUGGGGUUGUAGAGCUAUUGUAAAAGUUCCAACACCUAAACGUAAAAAGUUAGGUGAAAGAGGAAUUGAAUGCAUAUUUAUAGGUUAUGCACAUAAUAGCAAGGCAUAUAGGUUCAUAGUAAUUGAACCAAAUGAUUCAAUUUCAAUUAAUACGGUUAUUGAAUCAAGAGAUGCUAUUUUUGAUGAAAAUAGAUUUAAUUCUAUAUCAAGACAAUUACAACCACAACAAUUGAUUCAUUCUUCAAAUGAGAAUGAGAUUCCAUUGAAACAAAUUGAUAAUAAUGAUGAAUCUUGUCAAGAAUUAAGAAGAAGUAAGAGGAUUAAAAAGGUCAAAGAUUUUAGACCAGAUUUCAUUAUGUUUCUUGUAGAAGGAAAAGGUGAAAGUAUAUGCAAUAAGAUACCUUAUUGUUAUAAUACCGAAUCUGAUCCUAUUACAUUUGAAGAAGCAGUGAAAUCUCAAGACUCUGCUUUUUGGAAAGAAGCAAUAAAUGAUGAAAUGGAUUCAAUAAUGGGAAAUCAAACUUGGAUCUUAGUUGAUCUUCCACCAGGUUCCAAACCAAUAGGUUGUAAAUGGAUCUUCAAAAAGAAAAUGAAGGUCGAUGGAACCAUUGAUAAAUUUAAAGCAAGGUUGGUAGCAAAAGGUUUUACACAAAGACAAGGUAUUGAUUACUUUGAUACCUAUGCUCCAGUAGUAAGAAUUGCUACAAUUAGACUAUUAAUAUCACUUACCUCUAUAUAUAAUUUGGUUGUUCACCAAAUGGAUGUUAAAACUGCAUUUUUAAAUGGUGAAUUGGAAGAGGAAGUGUACAUGGAGCAACCGGAAGGAUUUGUUGUUCCAGGACAAGAGCAUAAGGUAUGUAAGCUUGUUAAAUCUUUAUAUGGGCUUAAACAAGCACCAAAACAAUGGCACCAAAAGUUUGACAAGGUUGUUUUAGCUAAUGGCUAUAAAAUAAAUGAAUCCGAUAAGUGCAUAUAUAGUAAAUUUGAUAAUGGAAAGGGUGUUAUAAUUUGCUUAUAUGUAGAUGACAUGCUCAUUUUUGGCACGGAUUUGGAACAAAUAGAAAACACAAAGAAAUUCUUGUCAAACAACUUUGCUAUGAAGGAUAUGGGUGUAGCAGAUGUUAUUCUUGGGAUUAAAAUAACCCGAGAUGAAAGCACUAUAGCUUUAUCACAAUCACAUUACAUUGAAAAUGUGCUUAAAAAGUUUGAUCUUUUCAACUGUAUACCAGCAUCUACACCCAUGGAUCCUCAAUUAAAAUUAGUAUCUAAUGCUGGUAGGAAAAUUGAUCAAUUGAAAUAUGCAAGUCUAAUUGGUUGUCUUAUGUACAUAAUAACUUGUACAAGACCAGAUAUUGCAUAUGCUAUUGGAAAAUUGAGUAGAUACACAAGUAAUCCAAGUAGUUUGCAUUGGCAAGCUUUAAAUAGAGUACUUAGGUACUUAAAGAAAACUAUUAACUAUGGAUUGUGUUAUAAUGGAUAUCCUCCAGUUUUAGAAGGGUAUUCGGAUGCUAGUUGGAUUACAAGUUUGGAAGAUCAUGCAUCUACUAGUGGGUGGAUCUUCAUUCUUGGUGGAGGAGUCAUUUCUUGGGGUUCCAAGAAACAAACAUGUAUUACUGAUUCCACCAUGGCAGCAGAAUUUAUUGCAUUAGCCGCUGCAUCUAAAGAAGCAGAAUGGUUAAGAAAUUUGCUUUAUGAUGUACCUUUAUGGCUUAAGCCAAUUUCACCUAUUUCUAUCCGUUGUGAUAGUGAGGCUACUCUAGCAAAGGCAUAUAGCCAAGUAUAUAAUGGAAAGUCUAGACACAUUGGAUUAAGACAUAGUUAUGUCCGACAAUUAAUCUCUGAUGGAGUGAUCACUAUUAAUUAUGUGAGGUCAAGUGAAAAUUUGGCAGAUCCUUUGACAAAAAGUCUUGCUAGAGAUGCAGUAAAAAGGACCUCAAAAGGGAUGGGACUCAAGCCUAUUAAUUAGAGUCACCCAUGAUGGAAACUCGACUCAACGCUUGGUAUAACGUCAAGUCUUGAGUUCAAUGAGACAAAGUACAUCAUUAGUAUGUGACUGUUAGCACUAUAAAUAAAUCCAUCCUAAGAUUAAAGUGCUAGGUACCCGUAAUGAUAAGGGAAGGAUGAGUAAUGUACUCUUAAUGGACCCAUAACAUAAAUAUGUUAGAGUGUUAUAAUUACGGGAACACUUUUGAUGGGAUCUACCUAUGUGAGUGGAAGUGUGGCCGCUUCUAGGAGCUUAAGGGCUUGGCUCUGAUAGCACUCAUGAAAAGAGGACAUAGGCACAUGGCUAUAAUAGUGUCCCUAGAUACUAUGCAUUGACUGAUGUUGAAAUCAUUGUGUGAGAUGUGUUCAGUUAAUCAAAUGAAAUAGUUGGUUCAAAGCUUAGUCUACCAUACAAUUUCGAUUAACUUUAACAUGUUUUCACUAAGUGAAGGUUCAAUCGUAAGACACCUUUAUUUAUGCAAAUUGAUUUCCAAGAAUAUCAAAAUCUAAAUAUUUUGAAAAUGGGGGGAGAUUGUUGGAAUAUUUUCAAAUAUUUAUAGUAUCCCAAUAACUAUAAAUGAAUGGGUGUAAUUAAUCAAAAGAUAAAACUUUUGGUCAUUGGUCAAAAGUUAUAUCAUUUGAUUUUUUAAAAAAGAAUUAUAACUAUUCAAAAAAUAUUAUUUGAAUAGUUACAAAAUUAAAUGAAUAAUUAUUAUUAUUUAUUUAUUCAUAAAGACACCUAUUGAAAGAUGUCUCUAUGAAGAGACAUGAAAAUUCCUAUAAAUAGGAAUGAGAUUUCAUUUGGAAAUCAUAUCAACAAAUUCUAAUAUUAUUUCUUCUCUUCCUUCAUUUUCUAAUAUUAUUAGAUUAUUCUAUAAAGUAUUGCUGCAGAAAUCCUUUAUAGAAAUUGAGUUUUUGUUAUAAAUUACUCAGUGCAUAGUGGACUAUUCUCGUCAGUGCAAAACGCAAAUAGUCAUUGGCUUCAUUGUAUCCUCGAGGUUAAUUUGCUUGGAACUCGUUUGCACACUGAAGAUAAGUGGGGCGAAUAUAACCUUAAAGAUAGUGGCUUGAUACACACCUUGGAGCCUGUCCUAUUUCUUCUUUUUCUUUUCGAGUUCCGAUCGUGUGUUCGAGUUUUUU